rnacentral:rRNA from 1 species
UACGUAGGUGGCAAGCGUUGUCCGGAUUUACUGGGCGUAAAGGGCGUGCAGGCGGUUUGUUAAGUGCAGGGUGAAAGCUCCCGGCUCAACUGGGAGAGGUCCUUGCAUACUGGCAAACUCGAGGGAGGCAGAGGAAAGUGGAAUUCCCGGUGUAGUGGUGAAAUGCGCAGAUAUCGGAAGGAACAUCAGUGGCGAAAGCGACUUCCUGGACCAAUACUGACGCUCAUGUGCGAAAGCGUGGGGGAGCAAACAGG